rnacentral:sRNA from 1 species
AUGAAGGUUUAAAACUAAGAGGAAAGGGGGUGCUUAAAAAUCUGUAGGACAAAUUUUCAGUUCUUCCUUUACACAUUAAAGAGGUUUGUUUGUGGACGUUUCAUUAUUUUGAUUACCAGAUUUGAUACAGGUUGUAAAUAUGAUAAUUUAGCAACGAUUUCUGUGAUCUCUUAGGUAUCCAAUCCUGUAUAUCUGCAUUUAUAUACAUUGUUUUAAUUGUCAUUGUAUUGGUGCGUUCUUCAGCUCAGAUACAGUAAACUUUUUUUUUUAAUUUGUUUGUAUUCGUUUUAUACUGUGAUGUUAUUGGCAUUUCUUGGAUCAUUAAAAAAUAUGAGAAAUAAAAAUAUACCAUU